rnacentral:rRNA from 1 species
UACGUAGGGGGCGAGCGUUGUCCGGAGUUACUGGGCGUAAAGCGCUUGUAGGCGGUCCACCAAGUUUGGGGUGACAGUUGCCGACUUAAUCGGCAAAGUGCCUCAAAGACUGGCGGACUUGAGGGCCACAGAGGGACAUGGAACUCCAGGUGUAGUGGUGAAAUGCGUAGAUAUCUGGAGGAAUACCAAAGGCGAAGGCAGUGUCCUGGCUGGCAACUGACGCUGAGGCGCGAAAGCUAGGGGAGCGAACAGG